UACAGAGACUGCAAGCGUUAUUCGGAUUCACUGGGCGUAAAGGGUGCGCAGGCGGUUGGGUGUGUCAGAUGUGAAAUCCCGAGGCUCAACCUCGGAACUGCGUCUGAAACUACUCGACUAGAGUACUGGAGAGGGUAACGGAAUUCACGGUGUAGCAGUGAAAUGCGUAGAUAUCGUGAGGAACACCAGAGGCGGAGGCGGUUACCUGGACAGUUACUGACGCUCAGGCACGAAAGCAUGGGGAGCAAAAGGG
rnacentral:rRNA from 1 species